UCCGUUGAGGAUUCCGUCAUUUGGUGAUUUUAUCAUACUACAUCAUACCAUAGUGGGUUGACGAUCCUGAGAUCACAUCCAACACUAAGUAAUACUGCAUUGAUGACUCCAUCUUUUUUUUAUCAUCUCUGCACCAGGUUGCAUGGUACAUAAGUGAUAAAUAAAAACAACUUUUGAUACUUCAAAUCAUUCGCGUCUAGCCGAAAUAAGUAGCAUAGACUGUACUUUAAAUCGUUUCAAAAAUCUUUGCAAAUCAGUUUUAUCAUCUCAACAGGUAACGAGGUGUCGAUGGCCCGAAGUCCACGCAUACACAAUAAUCACCAGGAGUUGAGAAUAAAAAUUCAUUUUUCAAAAGCACAUAGUGCGUAUUUAGCUUGAUGUCAAAAACUUCGAAGUCUAGCAUAGCUAGAAGAUUUGGAAUACCUAUGCUUCCAUCAUCAACUUCACUUUUUCUACUGAUCCAUUACUUAAUAGAUCUAUCUAUUCUUAUAAUCCUCAAUGCUCCAUUCACCACUUUGCUAUACCCCAGUUCAUCAAACUUACCACACAUUAUGAGUUCAGGAACUUGCCACAAUCAUAUGAGUUUAAGAACUUAUCCUAGUCAGACCAUAGGCGUCCAUUCGCUGAGGGGUUCAAAACAUACCAUAUGAUUAUGAGUCAUGAACUUACCAUAAGUAUGAGUUUUAAGAACUCACAACUUAACCUUAUAUCCUCUACCUAUUCGUUAUACACAUGAGAAAAGAAUCACCUUCUCAACAUGCAUAUAACAAAUAGCGCGACAUUAGGUUCCAAUGAUUAUCAUUACCAGAAACUAAGUGGUUGUCAAACCAAACUCGGCUACUAAUCAAUAUAGGAAGCUAAGCGGACAAUUCUAUGCCCAUACAAAGAAUUUGUCAACCUAACCACUAUAUCAACCAGGAAGCUAAGUGAUUCUAAAACCAAGUACAAAUUCCCCGCCCAUACAAGGAAUCAUACAACUCAGCUGCUGACCUGAGUCCUCAAUUGAAAACCAUAUAGGUUUUACUUGAAAAAUUUUAAAUAAAUCCUCAAAUUCUCAUCUAGGUUUUAUUCUUUAACCUUUAUUCUAAUCAUUCAAGAUUUUAGAAAUUUUCG
rnacentral:lncRNA from 1 species